ensembl:miRNA
UCUCUUACACAGGCUGACCGAUUUCUCUUGGUGUUCAGAGUCUCAGUUUCUGUCUAGCACCAUUUGAAAUCGGUUAUGAUGUAGGGGGA